GAGGGACCGGGGCGGACGGUCGUACACGCCGUUCCCGUCGGCGUCCGUCCUGCGGCGGAUCGUCCACGCCGACCCUCCC
rnacentral:tRNA from 1 species